rnacentral:tRNA from 1 species
GGGAAUGUAGCUCAGUGGGAGAGCACACACCGAGCAUGUGUGUAAGGGCCUGGGUUCAAUCCCAAGUAUGUCCA